rnacentral:rRNA from 1 species
GACGAACGCUGGCGGCGUGCCUAAUACAUGCAAGUCGAGCGCAGGAAACUGACGGAACUCUUCGGAGGGAAGGCAGUGGAAUGAGCGGCGGACGGGUGAGUAACACGUAAGGAACCUGCCUCAAGGAUUGGGAUAACUCCGAGAAGUCGGAGCAAAUACCGGAUAGUUCAUCGGACCGCAUGGUCCGCUGAUGAAAGGAGCUACGGCGUCACCUUGAGAUGGCCUUGCGGUGCAUUAGCUAGUUGGUGGGGUAACGGCCCACCAAGGCGACGAUGCAUAGCCGACCUGAGAGGGUGAUCGGCCACACUGGGACUGAGACACGGCCCAGACUCCUACGGGAGGCAGCAGUAGGGAAUCUUCCACAAUGGACGAAAGUCUGAUGGAGCAACGCCGCGUGAGUGAUGAAGGUUUUCGGAUCGUAAAACUCUGUUGUAAGGGAAGAACACGUACGAGAGGGAAUGCUCGUACCUUGACGGUACCUUACGAGAAAGCCACGGCUAACUACGUGCCAGCAGCCGCCGUAA